UACGUAGGUGACAAGCGUUGUCCGGAAUUAUUGGGCGUAAAGCGCGCGCAGGCGGUCCUUUAAGUCUGAUGUGAAAGCCCACGGCUCAACCGUGGAGGGUCAUUGGAAACUGGGGGACUUGAGUACAGAAGAGAAGAGUGGAAUUCCACGUGUAGCGGUGAAAUGCGUAGAGAUGUGGAGGAACACCAGUGGCGAAGGCGACUCUUUGGUCUGUAACUGACGCUGAGGCGCGAAAGCGUGGGGAGCAAACAGG
rnacentral:rRNA from 1 species